rnacentral:rRNA from 1 species
CAGUAGCGGCGAGUGAAGCGGCAAGAGCUCAGAUUUGGAAUCGUGUUUCGGCACGAGUUGUAAAUUGCAGGUUGGAGUCUUUGUGGAAGCGUGUGUCCAAGUCCCUUGGAACAGGGCGCCAUUGAGGGUGAGAGCCCCGUGGGAUGCGCGCGGAAGCAACAAGGCCCUUCUGACGAGUCGAGUUGUUUGGGAAUGCAGCUCUAAGCGGGUGGUAAAUUCCAUCUAAGGCUAAAUACUGGCGAGAGACCGAUAGCGAACAAGUACUGUGAAGGAAAGAUGAAAAGCACUUUGAAAAGAGAGUGAAACAGCACGUGAAAUUGUUGAAAGGGAAGGGUAUUGGGCCCGACAUGGGGAUUGCGCAUCUCUGCUCCUUGUGGGCGGGGCGCUGUGCUUUUCCUGGGCCAGCAUCGGUUUUUGCCGCAGGAGAAGGGGUACUGGAAUGUGGCUCCUCGGAGUGUUAUAGCCAGUGCCAGAUGCUGCGUGCGGGGACCGAGGGCUGCGACAUCUGUCUCGGAUGCUGGCACAACGGCGCAAUACCGCCCGUCUUA